AGUGAACGCUGGCGGUAGGCCUAACACAUGCAAGUCGAACGGCAGCACAGUAAGAGCUUGCUCUUACGGGUGCGAGUGGCGGACGGGUGAGGAAUACAUCGGAAUCUACUUUUUCGUGGGGGAUAACGUAGGGAAACUUACGCUAAUACCGCAUACGACCUACGGGUGAAAGCAGGGGAUCUUCGGACCUUGCGCGAUUGAAUGAGCCGAUGUCGGAUUAGCUAGUUGGCGGGGUAAAGGCCCACCAAGGCGACGAUCCGUAGCUGGUCUGAGAGGAUGAUCAGCCACACUGGAACUGAGACACGGUCCAGACUCCUACGGGAGGCAGCAGUGGGGAAUAUUGGACAAUGGGCGCAAGCCUGAUCCAGCCAUACCGCGUGGGUGAAGGAGGCCUUCGGGUUGUAAAGCCCUUUUGUUGGGAAAGAAAAGCAGCAGGUUAAUACCCCGCUGUUCUGACGGUACCCAAAGAAUAAGCACCGGCUAACUUCGUG
rnacentral:rRNA from 1 species